AUUGAACGCUGGCGGCAGGCCUAACACAUGCAAGUCGAGCGGAUGAAGGGAGCUUGCUCCUGGAUUCAGCGGCGGACGGGUGAGUAAUGCCUAGGAAUCUGCCUGGUAGUGGGGGAUAACGUCCGGAAACGGGCGCUAAUACCGCAUACGUCCUGAGGGAGAAAGUGGGGGAUCUUCGGACCUCACGCUAUCAGAUGAGCCUAGGUCGGAUUAGCUAGUUGGUGGGGUAAAGGCCUACCAAGGCGACGAUCCGUAACUGGUCUGAGGGGAUGAACAGUCACACUGGAGCUGAGCCGCGGCCCAGGCUCCUACGGGAGGCCGCGGUGGGGACUGUUGGAAACUGGGCGAAAGCCUGCUCCAUCCAUGCCGCGUGGGUGAAGAAGGUCCGCGUGUUGUAAAGCACUUUACGUUGGGAGGAAGGGCAUUAAGUUAAUACCUUGCUGUUUUGCCGUUACCAACAGAAUAAGCCCCGCCAACCUUCGU
rnacentral:rRNA from 1 species